rnacentral:rRNA from 1 species
GACGAACGCUGGCGGCGUGCUUAACACAUGCAAGUCGAACGAUGAAGCCUAGCUUGCUGGGUGGAUUAGUGGCGAACGGGUGAGUAACACGUGAGUAACCUGCCCUGGACUCUGGGAUAAGCGUUGGAAACGACGUCUAAUACCGGAUAGGACCUUGCACCGCAUGGUGUGGGGUGGAAAGUUUUUCGGUUUGGGAUGGACUCGCGGCCUAUCAGCUUGUUGGUGAGGUAAUGGCUUACCAAGGCGUCGACGGGUAGCCGGCCUGAGAGGGUGACCGGCCACACUGGGACUGAGACACGGCCCAGACUCCUACGGGAGGCAGCAGUGGGGAAUAUUGCACAAUGGGCGCAAGCCUGAUGCAGCAACGCCGCGUGCGGGAUGACGGCCUUCGGGUUGUAAACCGCUUUUGUCCAGGAAGAAGCCUCUUGGGGUGACGGUACUGGGAGAAAAAGGACCGGCUAACUACGUGCCAGCAGCCGCCGUAAUAC